rnacentral:rRNA from 1 species
UUUCGAAUCAUUCACAAUGGGCGAAAGCCUGAUGGUGCAAUGCCGCGUGGAGGAUGAAGGCCCUAGGGUCGUAAACUCCUGUCAUUGGGGAACAACAAGCGGGUUCAUAGCCCGCCCUGAGUUAACCCAAAGAGGAAGAGGUGGCUAACUCCGUGCCAGCAGCCGCGGUAAUACGGAGACCUCGAGCGUUACUCGGAUUUACUGGGCGUAAAGGGUGAGUAGGCGGCCAAAUGUGUCAGGUGUGAAAUCCCGGGGCUUAACCCCGGAACUGCGCCUGAAACUGUUUGGCUUGAGUCUCGGAGAGGAUAGUGGAAUUCCGGGUGUAGCGGUGAAAUGCGUAGAUAUCCGGAGGAACACCAGUGGCGAAGGCGACUAUCUGGACGAGUACUGACGCUCAAUCACGAAAGCGUGGGUAGCGAAAGGG